CUUGGUCAUUUAGAGGAAGUAAAAGUCGUAACAAGGUUAACACUCCUGGGUCCUGGGGUUUUACGUUAGAGUAAAUACCUCCCCCUCCACGGAAGCCUUGAAUUGAGUCCACGUUCAUCGUGGGCAACACCAGUCUGUUGCUAGAAACCCUUAUUUGAGGUUAUUAGCAGUCGUUUUAACGAUUCACAGAUCAAGUACUGGUGGUUCAUUUCAAACAAGAAUGAAUUAUAAUAUGACCGGUACUCUUCUUAGCUGAAGAGAGCUUAACGUUCCGUAGGUGAACCUGCGGAAGGAUCAUUAAAGAGUACGGGUCUCCGGGCCCAAUCUCCAACCCUUUGUUUAACUACCAUGUUGCUUUGGCGGGCCCGUCCCACGACCGCCGGAAGUUUGGCUUCGACCAAACUUCUGGCCCGUGCCCGUCAGUGGCCCCUUCAAAUUCUUGAUCAAGUAUGAUGUCUUAGUUAAAAACUUAAUAGUUAAAACUUUCAACAACGGAUCUCUUGGUUCUGGCAUCGAUGAAGAACGCAGCGAAAUGCGAUAAGUAAUGCGAAUUGCAGAACUCAGUGAGUCAUCGAAUCUUUGAACGCACAUUGCGCCCUUUGGUAUUCCGAAGGGCAUGCCUGUUCGAGCGUCAUUAUCAACCCUCAAGCCUGGCUUGCUGUUGGACCUCUCGUCGUUGAAGACGGGUCCUAAAGUUAAUGGCAGAGUCGUCUGGACCCUAGAUGCAACGAGCUCUCGUAGCACGCAUUUAAGGGGCUGGCGGCUCUAGUCUCAACCCAUAUCAUUUACAAGGUUGACCUCGGAUCAGGUAGGAAUACCCGCUGAACUUAAGCAUAUCAAUAAGCGGAGGAGAAGAAACCAACAGGGAUUGCCUCAGUAACGGCGAGUGAAGCGGCAACAGCUCAAAUUUGAAAUCUGGCCUUUACGGGUCCGAGUUGUGAUUUGUAGAGGAUGUUUCGGGCACCGCUCCGGUUUAAAUUUCUUGGAACAGAAUGUCAAAGAGGGUGAGAGUCCCGUCUUGAACCGGUUGUAGGGUCCAUGUGAAACUCCUUCGACGAGUCGAGUUGUUUGGGAAUGCAGCUCAAAAUGGGUGGUAAAUUUCAUCUAAAGCUAAAUAUUGGCCAGAGACCGAUAGCGCACAAGUAGAGUGAUCGAAAGAUGAAAAGCACUUUGAAAAGAGAGUUAAACAGUAUGUGAAAUUGUUGAAAGGGAAGCGCUUGCAACCAGACUUGAGCUCGACGGUUCCCCCUUCGUUUUCGUUGGGUUAUUCCGUCUUGUCCAGGCCAACAUCGGUUCGGGUGGUUGGUUAAAGGCUCUGGGAAUGUAUCUACCCUUCGGGGAAGACUUAUAGCCCAGGGUGUCAUGCAGCCUACCUGGACCGAGGAACGCGCUUCGGCUCGGAUGUUGGCGUAAUGGUUGUAAGCGACCCGUCUUGAAACACGGACC
rnacentral:rRNA from 1 species